AACAUAUUAAAGACCUAGGGUCUUUUGAUUUAAGGUCUUUGGUUUGUGACCUUGAAAUUGAGGUCAAGGUCAUAGGUUAAUAGGACGUUCUAGAUUUUGACCUUUGCUUUAAAUUCAUAUAAAUACAUCAUAAAGCCAUAGGAACUAACAUUUUAAACUGAUUUUUCAUAUUUCAAUAUCAAAAUAGAUCUUUACUAGUGGAAAGACCUUCAAUUGUUCUCUGAACAAUUGGUUUUUAAUUAUUUUUUUUUUUUUUUUUUUCUUCCGCCUAAUUUUUUUUCUUGCGUAGUAUUGAUGUUUCAAAAGAUGUCGCUUAGAUAUUUGGAAUAUGAUAUCGUAUAGUUUUAUACGCUUUAAAACUUUACAACUGCGUAACAAAAUACUUUACGUUGUAAGAGUUAUCUCCCCAAACACUGUUUUUCUUGUGGCCACUACUCCUUCGCAACCGUAAAAGAUUACGACAAAUU
rnacentral:lncRNA from 1 species